rnacentral:rRNA from 1 species
UACAGAGGGUGCUAGCGUUGUUCGGAAUAAUUGGGAGUAAAGGGUGCGUAGGCGGCGAGGUAAGUAGGGUGUGAAAUCUCGGAGCUUAACUCCGAAACUGCAUUCGAUACUGCCGUGCUUGAGGACUGGAGAGGAGACUGGAAUUUACGGUGUAGCGGUGAAAUGCGUAGAUAUCGUAAGGAAGACCAGUGGCGAAGGCGGGUCUCUGGACAGUUCCUGACGCUGAGGCACGAAGGCCAGGGGAGCAAACGGG